UACGUAGGGGGCUAGCGUUGUCCGGAUUUAUUGGGCGUAAAGAGCGUGUAGGCGGCCAGAUAGGUCUGCUGUGAAAACUCGAGGCUCAACCUCGAGAUGUCGGCGGAAACCAUUUGGCUAGAGUCCGGAAGAGGAAAGUGGAAUUCCGCGUGUAGCAGUGAAAUGCGUAGAUAUGCGGAGGAACACCGAUGGCGAAGGCAAUCCCCUGGGCCUGCACUGACGCUCAUGCACGAAAGCGUGGGGAGCAAACAGG
rnacentral:rRNA from 1 species